rnacentral:rRNA from 1 species
GAUGAACGCUGGCGGCGCGCCUAACACAUGCAAGUCGAACGGGAACACCCGUAGCAAUAUGGGUGUUUUAGUGGCGGACGGGUGAGUAACGCGUGAGGAACCUGCCUUUCGGAGGGGAAUAACACAUCGAAAGAUGUGCUAAUACCGCAUAAUGUCAUCGGGCGGCAUCGCCUGAUGACCAAAGGAGCAAUCUGCCGAAAGAUGGCCUCGCGUCCGAUUAGAUAGUUGGUGAGGUAACGGCCCACCAAGUCUGCGAUCGGUAGCCGGACUGAGAGGUUGAACGGCCACAUUGGGACUGAGACACGGCCCAGACUCCUACGGGAGGCAGCAGUGGGGGAUAUUAGUCAAUGGAGGAAACUCUGAACUAGCGACGCCGCGUGAGGGAAGAAGGUCUUCGGAUUGUAAACCUCUGUCUUCGGGGACGAUAAUGACGGUACUCGAGGAGGAAGCUCCGGCUAACUACGUG